CGUAGGGUGCAAGCGUUAAUCGGAAUUACUGGGCGUAAAGGGUGCGCAGGCGGUUCUGUAAGUCAGAUGUGAAAUCCCCGGGCUUAACCUGGGAACUGCGUUUGAAACUACAGAACUAGAGUGUAGCAGAGGGAGGUGGAAUUCCAUGUGUAGCAGUGAAAUGCGUAGAGAUAUGGAAGAACAUCGAUGGCGAAGGCAAUCUCCUGGGUUAACACUGACGCUCAUGCACGAAAGCGUGGGGAGCAAACAGG
rnacentral:rRNA from 1 species